rnacentral:tRNA from 1 species
GUCCUUUUAGCUUAAUGGAUAAAGCGUCUGUCUCCUAUUGUUUUUAAAAGCUAGAAAACAGAAGAUUACGGGUUCGAAUCUCGUUUAGGAUA